rnacentral:rRNA from 1 species
GUGGGGAAUAUUGGACAAUGGGCGAAAGCCUGAUCCAGCAAUGCCGCGUGCAGGAAGAAGGCCUUCGGGUUGUAAACUGCUUUUGUACGGAACGAAACGGUCCUGGUUAAUACCUGGGGCUAAUGACGGUACCGUAAGAAUAAGCACCGGCUAACUACGUGCCAGCAGCCGCGGUAAUACGUAGGGUGCGAGCGUUAAUCGGAAUUACUGGGCGUAAAGCGUGCGCAGGCGGUGCUGUAAGACAGGCGUGAAAUCCCCGGGCUCAACCUGGGAAUUGCGCUUGUGACUGCAUUGCUGGAGUACGGCAGAGGGGGAUGGAAUUCCGCGUGUAGCAGUGAAAUGCGUAGAUAUGCGGAGGAACACCGAUGGCGAAGGCAGUCCCCUGGGCCUGUACUGACGCUCAUGCACGAAAGCGUGGGGAGCAAACAGGAUUAGAUACCCGGGUAGUCC